rnacentral:lncRNA from 1 species
GGCCUGUGCGGUGGCACAGCCUUCUUCAGCCUUGGCGAGGUUCCCGAGACUUGCUCGGAGUUGCUCGCGCUCGGCCUCCAGCUCUUUGCCGACACUGUCUCGCUCGUGUCGGAGCCGACGGAUGGUUCGGGACUUCUUGGCCGCGUCAUCCUUCGCUGACUUAAGCUCCGACUCCAACGACGCCUUAGUCUCCUUGAGUCCGGAGACCUCCUCCGAAAGUCGGGAGACCUCCCCCUCGAGUCGGUUCUCCCGGUCGACCGACUGCUGAAAUUGGUCGACAAGGAUGGCCUUCUCGGCUUUGAGCCCCGCGACCUUAUCUCUCCAGGCCGCGCGCAUGUCC